rnacentral:rRNA from 1 species
CGCCCUUAGAGUUUGAUCAUGGCUCAGAUUGAACGCUGGCGGCAGGCCUAACACAUGCAAGUCGGACGGUAAGAGAGCUUGCUCUCGACGAGUGGCGGACGGGUGAGUAAUGUCUGGGAAACUGCCCGAUGGAGGGGGAUAACUGCUGGAAACGGUAGCUAAUACCGCAUAACGUCGCAAGACCAAAGUGGUUCGUCACACCAUCGGAUGUGCCCAGAUGGGAUUAGCUAGUAGGUGGGGUAACGGCUCACCUAGGCGACGAUCCCUAGCUGGUCUGAGAGGAUGACCAGCCACACUGGAACUGAGACACGGUCCAGACUCCUACGGGAGGCAGCAGUGGGGAAUAUUGCACAAUGGGCGCAAGCCUGAUGCAGCCAUGCCGCGUGUAUGAAGAAGGCCUUCGGGUUGUAAGUACUUUCAGCGGGGGAGGGAAGGGGG